rnacentral:rRNA from 1 species
GAUGAACGCUGGCGGCGUGCUUAACACAUGCAAGUCGAGCGAAGCAUUUUUAAGGAAGUUUUCGGAUGGAAUUAAAAAUGACUGAGCGGCGGACGGGUGAGUAACGCGUGGGUAACCUGCCUCAUACAGGGGGAUAACAGUUGGAAACGACUGCUAAUCCCGCAUAAGCGCACAGUGUCACAUGACACGGUGUGAAAAACUCCGGUGGUAUGCAAUGGACCCGCGUCUGAUUAGGUGGUUGGUGAGGUAACGGCCCACCAAGCCGACGAUCAGGAGCCGACCUGAGAGGGUGACCGGCCACAUUGGGACUGAGACACGGCCCAAACUCCUACGGGAGGCAGCAGUGGGGAAUAUUGGACAAUGGGGGAAACCCUGAUCCAGCGACGCCGCGUGAGUGAAGAAGUAUUUCGGUAUGUAAAGCUCUAUCAGCAGGGAAGAAAAUGACGGUACCUGACUAAGAAGCCCCGGCUAACUACGUGCCAGCCGCCGCAGUAA